rnacentral:rRNA from 1 species
UGGGGAAUAUUGNUNAAUGGGGGGAACCCUGACGCAGCCAUGCCGCGUGAAUGAAGAAGGCCUUAGGGUUGUAAAGUUCUUUCGGUAUUGAGGAAGGUUGAUGUGUUAAUAGCACAUCAAAUUGACGUUAAAUACAGAAGAAGCACCGGCUAACUCCGUGCCAGCAGCCGCGGUAAUACGGAGGGUGCGAGCGUUAAUCGGAAUAACUGGGCGUAAAGGGCACGCAGGCGGUUAUUUAAGUGAGGUGUGAAAGCCCCGGGCUUAACCUGGGAAUUGCAUUUCAGACUGGGUAACUAGAGUACUUUAGGGAGGGGUAGAAUUCCACGUGUAGCGGUGAAAUGCGUAGAGAUGUGGAGGAAUACCGAAGGCGAAGGCAGCCCCUUGGGAAUGUACUGACGCUCAUGUGCGAAAGCGUGGGGAGCAAACAGGAUUAGAUACCCUGGUAGUCCACGCUGUAAACGCUGUCGAUUUGGGGGUUGGGGUUUAACUCUGGCGCCCGUAGCUAACGUGAUAAAUCGACCGCCUGGGGAGNACGGCCGCAAGGUUA